rnacentral:lncRNA from 1 species
CACAUCCAACUCUGCUCCAUCCCUUGUCACACUGCCGAUGGCUUCUCUCUGAGCCUGGCAACAAUCUCUCUACCUGUUUAGUUCCCAAAGCAGCUUACCACCAUGCAAGACAUAUACAUCCCAAUUCCGUAGUGGCCCAGUGUCUCCAGCCACUACUCACUCUUGAAUUUAAUUAAAUCACCACAUGAAAGAACACACAACACGAUAACCUCUGAUCCAAUUGAUAAGAUAUAACUGCCCACCUAGACAUACAAAGUCCUGUUCACAUCCAUCCCUUAAGAAUAUACAUAACCUGUAACUAUGUGCAGAGAGGAAUCUUAACAUCUGCCACCACGUUCUCUCAACUUCUCUUCUUCUCACCCUUGCUCCCUUCUCUGCCCCUCUCUGAAACUUUUCUCCUGCCCAUCCUUCCUUCUCAUCCAAUGACAGGCCUUUUUCUGUCCUAUACCUGCCUUCACCUGUAUAGGUAAUGACAUGAUCCUACAACCCGUCUUUGAACUAAGGAGGAUGAUGUUCUUGAAUUUAUUCAUCGGAUAUGUUAAGGAAAUACUUUAUCUAAAGGAAAGCUCUGUUUUAACUGAAGUGGACAUGUAAGUGUUUCACGAGAGACACUGAAGAGCAGGAAGAAAUCGGAUUACAGUCUAAAUAAAGUGAAUGCACCCAUCUUAACAAACACAACCUUGAAUGUCAUAAGGCUUGUUG